UACAGAGGGUGCAAGCGUUAAUCGGAAUUACUGGGCGUAAAGCGUGCGUAGACGGUUAUGUAAGUCGGGUGUGAAAGCCCGGGCUCAACCUGGGAAUUGCAUUCGAGACUGCAUAGCUAGGGUGCGGAAGAGGGAAGCGGAAUUUCCGGUGUAGCGGUGAAAUGCGUAGAUAUCGGAAGGAACACCAGUGGCGAAGGCGGCAUCCUGGACCGAUAUUGACGCUGAUGCGCGAAAGCCAGGGGAGCAAACGGG
rnacentral:rRNA from 1 species